AUGCCACCUUCUGUGCACGACACGGAAGGCCUGCCGUUCAUGAAGCAUGGUUGUGUCUUCCGUGCGCACCACCGGAUGAACGACAUGCUGGGACACGCUAUCCCUGAUUUAUGCCGCUUCAGCUUGGAUGAGUCUCCAUCUAAAUGUGUUAUGUGUACGUGCAACUUGUGUGUUUGUUGCACGGGCUCCAACAUGCUCUUUGAGAACAAAAAGUACCAUAUAACUGGAAUUAACCCAUGCAAGUCGAAGAAGGAUUGGCCGGUGCUGCCGGCUGGCGUCAAGUUCGAUCCCACAGAUCAGGAGCUGAUCGAGCACCUUGAGGCCAAAGUGAGUGCUGACAGCGUGAGAUCUCACCCUCUCAUCGAUUUUUUCAUACCAACCAGCGACAGCGAGCACGACAUAUGCUACAACCAUCCUGAGAAAUUUCCAGGUAUCACACUGAGUGACCUAAGCAAGCAUUUCUUCCAGCGCAAUUCUAGGGCGUUCAAAAGGGGCAUGUGGAUGCGUCGCAAGAUACAGUCGGAGUGUGGCAUGCACGCGAUGUGGCACAGCACCGACAAUACCUUGCCGGUGAUGGUCAACGGCCUGCAGACGGGCAGCAAAAUGAUUCUGGUGCUGCACACCAACAAGAACUUCGACCAGCAGAGGACCAACUGGGUGAUGCACCAGUACCACCUCGGGGACCUGGAGCAAGAGAAGGAGCGGGAGCUGGUCCUCUGCAAGAUUUUCUACCAGACGAACACUAGGGCCAGGAGUCGAGCAAAUUUCAACUGGGUUGUAGACUGCCCAGGCUUGGUUUUGUUUUUAACAGGCCCAGCCCAUGAUGACAACGGGGCACAAAGAUCCAGCAGGUAUCUACUGGCCUCUGGCCCGCCAGUGUUAGUUAUAUUGUCUUACAACAUCCGCAUGCACUUUUUUUACUGA
rnacentral:rRNA from 1 species